rnacentral:sRNA from 1 species
AAAUACAGGCGAAAAUAGUUGCGCCUGACAUUGUCGAAGAGCUGUGCGAGCGUUAUCGGAUCGGCACGGUCUUCGUGGUCCUCGCCAUAGACCAGUUCCUUCCGGUAU